GACGAACGCUGGCGGCGUGCCUAAUACAUGCAAGUAGGACGCAGUUGCGAACGGGUGAGUAACGCGUAGGUAACUACCUAUUAGAGGGGGAUAACUAUUGGAAACGAUAGCUAAUACCGCAUACUAGUAGAUGGACCUGCGUUGUAUUAGGUAGUAGGUAGGGUAAUGGCCUCCCUAGGAAACGAUUCAUGGCCGAGCUUGGGAGGUGAUCGGCCAAACUGGGACUGGAGAACGGCCCAGAAUCCGACGGGAAGCAGCAGGAGGGAAUCUUCGGCAAUGGGGGGAACCCUGACCGAGCAACGCCGCGGGAGUGAAGAAGGUUUUCGGAUCUUAAAGCUCGGUUGUUAAGGGAGCGGUACUUAACCAGAAAGGGACGGCUAACUACGUGCCAGCAGCCGCGGUAAUUC
rnacentral:rRNA from 1 species